rnacentral:rRNA from 1 species
CUACGGGCUGCUGCAGUGGGGAAUUUUGGACAAUGGGGGCAACCCUGAUCCAGCCAUGCCGCGUGAGUGAAGAAGGCCUUCGGGUUGUAAAGCUCUUUCAGCCGGGAAGAAAUCGCAUGGGUUAAUACCCUGUGCGGAUGACGGUACCGGAAUAAGAAGCACCGGCUAACUACGUGCCAGCAGCCGCGGUAAUACGUAGGGUGCGAGCGUUAAUCGGAAUUACUGGGCGUAAAGCGUGCGCAGGCGGAUGCUUAAGUCAGAUGUGAAAUCCCCGGGCUUAACCUGGGAAUUGCAUUUGAAACUGGGUGUCUAGAGUGCGUCAGAGGGGGGUGGAAUUCCACGUGUAGCAGUGAAAUGCGUAGAUAUGUGGAGGAACACCAAUGGCGAAGGCAGCCCCCUGGGAUGACACUGACGCUCAUGCACGAAAGCGUGGGGAGCAAACAGGAUUAGAUACCCUGGUAGUC